ACGCGAUUGUUUUAAGCUUCUUGUUUAAACCUAGGAAUUGGAUUUUUAAUUAUGAAAAGUGUCUACUGAACUUUAAUUAAAUUGUGAUGUAAUAUAUUAAUUUUAAAAGUAAGUCCAACACAAAGGUUAUCAAAAAUUUGAUACGACAUAUGAUCAUUAACAAUUUUGGUGUAAUAAUCUUCUAAUUUAACAACUGUAUCGAUAGUAGACACGUGUAUACAACAAACUAAACAAAUUGGUAUAAAUUUUAACCCUAGAUGCGAUAUUCAGCAAGGAUGGUCUUCAAUUUCGUAACCCUAGGCGGCGGCGGCUACUGGGUUAUCGAAACCCUAGUCGCAAUCUGCAGAAGAUGUCUUCAAAUCGGAGCCCUAAUCGGAGUUAGAGACUGAAGGCGGUGGCGGCUGUGCUAGCGGCGGCUGGUUCAGAAACCCUAGACGCUAUGCCUGCGACUGUGAUUGAAACCCGAGACCACGGCUUGUUCUUCAACAGAGAAUACUCCUGCUAGCUGCAAAAGGAGUGUAGCACAGAACACCCUUGCUAGAUGCAGGAGUGUAACAAGGAACACCCCUACUAGUCAAAUCCUCCACAACCCAACAGGAAGAGAUGAGGGUGUUAACUCUUAGAAGCCCUAAAAGUUGUUGGGUCGCAUUUGACUUCUCAUGCGGUUUAUGGAUUGUGUGUCAGGUUGAAACCGGACCGAACAUGGAACUUCUAGACAAUAAAACCUAAUCAGAUGGGAAGUGCACGGUUGCCAUUGUUGUAGCAUGGACAUUUUUGCUUUUUUUUAUAAAAUUAUGAUUUUCUUUUAUUGUGUAUGCAGGAUGGAGUGACGGAGAGGUUAAUACCUGGUUGCAACAUUUUGUCUUUUAUUGUGUAUGAAGAAUAUUUUUUUCAACUGGAAUGGAGCAAAGGUUCGUUAAUUUGAUAGUGCAUCAUUAGUCAGGGAUGCAGAAAAUAAGGCUAAUAACCUUCAAUUAAGAAGCCACCAAAUAUUAUUGGCAGCAAUGGAAGUCCUAUCAGGCACUUCUUUCGACUAGCAGUCUGGCAUCUAUUUUAGACUGUGAUGAGUUCAUUUCUUUAUUCCCAGGAAGCACUAGAGUCAAACGUUUCGACGAUGCUGGAAUGCUUAUGGACGCGUAAGAUCAAUAUAUGUUUAAGUUUCCAACCUCCACUUCCGAAGACACACCAUCACUCAUCACCUACCACCACUCUCCUCAUCUACCCUUCCACCUUAGAAUCACCAACAUCACCUCCACGAACCUCCACCACAGCCGGACACAGGACACCGAUCACCGGGUUUCACUUAACACUUUGAUCUUUUCUCGGUUUGCUAAAACUGAGCUGGUGUACAUUUGCUAAGGGACAUGUAUGAGGGUGUUGUUACCUUUCAGGUACUUCAAUAAUGGGUUUUAAUGGGUUUUAAUAAUCAAGUUACAACUAUUUGUAAUUUGGCGAAGGUGUAUCAAGUUACAACUAUUUGUAGUGGGGAAAUUCCCGUGUAAGUACCUCGGCCUUUUAGUGGGGGCAAACAUGAGUCAAGUGAAACAUUGAAAAAGUGUAGUGGGUUGUUUUAAAGCUAGGCUUUC